rnacentral:rRNA from 1 species
GCAUAUCAAUAAGCGAGAAAAGGAAACUAACCAGGAUUUCCCCUAGUAACUGCGAAGUGAAGCGGGAAGAAGCUCAAAUUUAAAAUCUGGCAGUCUUUGAUUGUCCGAGUUGUAAUUUAGAGAAGUGUUACCCGCGCCGGACCGUGUACAAGUCUCCUGGAAGGGAGCAUCAUAGAGGGUGAGAAUCCCGUCUUUGACAUGGACUACCGGGGCUUUGUGGUAUGCUCUCAAAGAGUCGAGUUGUUUGGGAAUGCAGCUCUAAAUGGGUGGUAAAUUCCAUCUAAAGCUAAAUAUUGGCGAGAGACCGAUAGCGAACAAGUACCGUGAGGGAAAGAUGAAAAGAACUUUGGAAAGAGAGUUAAACAGUACGUGAAAUUGCUGAAAGGGAAACGCUUGAAGUCAGUCGCAUUAGCUGGGGAUCAACCUUUCUUUUGAUUGGUGUACUUCCUAGUUGAUGGGUCAACAUCAGUUUUGACUGUUAGAUAAAGGUUGGGGGAAUGUGGCAUCUUCGGAUGUGUUAUAGCCCUUGAUUGUAUAUAACAGUUGGGACUGAGGAAUUCAGCACGCCGCAAGGCCGGGUUUUUAACCACGUACGUGCUUAGGAUGUUGACAUAAUGGCUUUAAUCGACCCGUCUUGAAACACGGACCAAGGAGUCUAACAUGCCUGCGAGUAUUUGGGUGUAAAACCCAUGUGCGUAAUGAAAGUGAAAGUUGAGAACUCUGUCAUGGAGUGCAUCGACGCCCAGCCCAGACCUUUUGUGACGGAGCUGCGGUAGAGCAUGUAUGUUGGGACCCGAAAGAUGGUGAACUAUGCCUGAAUAGGGUGAAAGCCAGAGGAAACUCUGGUGGAGGCUCGUAGCGAUUCUGACGUGCAAAUCGAUCGUCGAAUUUGGGUAUAGGGGGCGAAAGACUAAUCGAACCAUCUAGUAGCUGGUUCCUGCGA